rnacentral:rRNA from 1 species
UACGUAGGGGGCUAGCGUUGUCCGGAAUCAUUGGGCGUAAAGAGCGUGUAGGCGGCCCGGUAAGUCCGCUGUAAAAGUCAAAGGCUCAACCUUUGAAUGUCAGUGGAUACUGCCGGGCUAGAGUCCGGAAGAGGCGAGUGGAACUCCUGGUGUAGCGGUGGAAUGCGCAGAUAUCAGGAAGAACACCAACGGCGAAGGCAGCUCGCUGGGACGGUACUGACGCUGAGACGCGAAAGCGCGGGGAGCGAACAGG